rnacentral:rRNA from 1 species
UGGGGAAUCUUAGACAAUGGGCGCAAGCCUGAUCUAGCCAUGCCGCGUGAGCGAUGAAGGCCUUAGGGUUGUAAAGCUCUUUCAGGGGGGAAGAUAAUGACUGUACCCCCAGAAGAAGCCCCGGCUAACUCCGUGCCAGCAGCCGCGGUAAUACGGAGGGGGCUAGCGUUGUUCGGAAUUACUGGGCGUAAAGCGCACGUAGGCGGACUGGAAAGUUGGGGGUGAAAUCCCGGGGCUCAACCCCGGAACUGCCUUCAAAACUUCCGGUCUUGAGGUCGAGAGAGGUGAGUGGAAUUCCGAGUGUAGAGGUGAAAUUCGUAGAUAUUCGGAGGAACACCAGUGGCGAAGGCGGCUCACUGGCUCGAUACUGACGCUGAGGUGCGAAAGCGUGGGGAGCAAACA